AACUGAGUUACUAUUUGUAAGCAUGUCAUUUCUGGGAAUUAAUGUUUCUAUAAUAACAUCUCUGUCAUUUGUUGCAUUGACGAAUAGUGCAGGACAAGGUUGAAUCACACGGUUUAGUUAAUUUUUAAAUGUUUCAGUCAUCUAUUAUAGAUGUGGGAACGUGAAGCUUCUCAAAGGUCAAAUGGUGAAAAAUGCCAUAGUCGAUUGCAGGUUGAGUCGGAAUCAUACAGGUACAAGCAACACUGAACGGAUUCAAAGUGUCUAGAGCCAUUUGCCUGCUUCUCUAGUAGAGCAAAAGUUUGUCUACUAGUCCAAGUCAAAACAGGUCAGGCAGGAUGGCCUGCUGGCCUGGCAGGAUGGUGUGCAGUCAGGCAGAUUUCCUGGCCUGCUGACUCAUGGAACCAAGAGGAGAUAUACUUCAGGUUCAAGGAGAGGGGCUGAAAGUUCUGUUAACCUUGGUGGAAGGAGCCGGGAGGCCUCUGGAUGGGAAUAGGUUUGCCAUGGAACUUGUAUCUCCAUUCUAAAGAGUUGAUCUAGUGUGGUCAGACUCCUGAUUCUGAGCCAGCUCAGAAGUUAGACAGGCUUUUCUUCAGAUUAGCAGUCAGCAGAACAGCCAGGCAGUGAGCACAGGGUGGACGACUCUACUGAGUGUGGAGUUAGCACAGGGUGGACGACUCUACUGAGUGUGGAGUUAGCACAGGGUGGACGACUCUACUGUGAGUGUGGAGUUAGCACAGGGUGGACGACUCUACUGUGAGUGUGGAGUUAGCACAGGGUGGAGGACUCUACUGAGUGUGGAGUGUGCACAGGGUGGAGGACUCUACUGUGAGUGUGGACUGUGCACAGGGAGAAGGACUGUACUGAGUGUGGGGUGCUUGCAAUGAUUUGUUAACAACAAUGUCUAACUUUCUGAGAUUCCCUGAGCCACUCUUUACUCUUCAUCCUCUCCCUUCCAACAAUGCUAUGAGCAUCCAAGAGGAACUUCUGCUUUAAGUACAUUUUUCUUCUCACACUUUAUAAGAAUUCUCAUUAUCUGAACCUCACUGAACCUACAUGGUGAAAGAGCUUGUUGCCCAUGAGGGACUUGAAAGUAAAACUCCCAGGGUUCUCAGAAAAAGCGUUGAUGCAAAGGAGAAUAGAAAGUAGAAAAUGCUCCCAUUUCUGAGAGGACUCAUCACACCUAAUUUGAGUAAUUUCCUUUUCAAUUUCCUGGGCCAUUUUAUUUUACCUCUGGCUGCCCCUUGGAUGAGUGGUGCUUCUCUGCCAUAUCUGCUGCCCUUUUCUUUACCAGGUACAAAUGACUGGCUCAUGAAAGUUAUUAGAAUUUGGACCUACGAGAGCUAGGUAAACAAUGGAUGAUUUCUCUCCUGUCUUACUUAGUACCAGCUGUCAACUUGAUACAGGCUGGAGUCAUCUAAGGAAAGCCUUGAUGUAAAGAUUGUCUAGAUCAGAUUGGCCUGUGGACUUUUCUGAGGACGUUAUCUUGAUUAUGAACUAAUGCAGACAGUUCUUUGUGCGCAGCAGCAGUCCCUGGGAAGAUGGUCCUGAGUUGUAUAAGAAAGUUAGCAGUUUCCUUUGCUGUGAUAAAACACCAUCCCAAAAGCAACUAGGAGAGAAGGGUGUGUGUCAUCUUACAGCUUGUAAACCAUCAUCCAGGAAAGGCAGGGAAGGAACUCAAGGCAGGUACCUAGAGAAAGCACUUGAAGCAAUUAGAAGAUUGAAUCAUUACCACUGCUGGGUUGAUAAUCAUUUCUCAGGCUGUCUUUUGGCAAAGAGCAAGCUACAUUUUACAUUGCUUGAGUCACAAUGGUCAGUCUUCUCAAACGGAAGACUUCAAGGAAAAAGAAACUUGGAGUAAGAUGAAAGAAGAAAGAGGAAAGACAAGAAAUCAAGAACUCCAAAGGUCACAAGGCAGGAACAUAAGAAAAGAAAUAAAAUUUUUCUCUUUGUAUUAAAAUUUUUAAUAUUAUAAUGUAAUAAUUAUACUAUAAAUAUCAGGGAACAUCUCUAUUGUCAGCCUCGUCUUUUUGGUGGGCAUGUGAGUUGUCAAAAGAUCAGCUUCCAUACUGGGCAAUGCAUUAUGGCUUACAUAAAGUUUUAUUUAUGUAGAAAAUACUCUGUUAAGUAUUGCAGUAUGGAAGGCUUAUUACUGAUGGGUCAAGAAUAAAACUGAUCCCCAAUAUGGAAAUCAGUAUAGCAAUUCUUUAGAAAAUUAAAAUAACUACAAUAUGAUCCAAAUAAGUGUUUAACUGAAAGAUGCCCAGUGAAUGAAUCACACAGAUAACUGCAUAAUAUUUCCACUGAACCACUUUCCCAAUGGCUAAGUAGCAAAUUUAUGGAACUAAUGUAAGGGAUCAUCAGGAUACAGCUAUAUAAAGAGAAAGUGUGGAACUCAUACAGAGAUACACAUACAGACACACAUCUGCACACAGUAAUGUGUAAACACACACCUACAUGGACAAACACAGACACAGGCACACACCACAGAUGCAUACACAGACACCAACAUAUAUAUACACACAUACACUGACACACAUAAAAAUAACCACUUAGCAAACAUAUGGUAAGACAGGGUUUGUUCAUCUUGCACUCUGAGGUAACAGUCUGUCACAGAGGGGAAUCAGGUCAAAAACUGAAGGUAGAAACCAUGGAAGAAGGAACUGAAGGAGAAGACAGGGAGGAUGUUGCUUGCUCGCUGUCUACUGCCUGAGCUCACUAUAGUUCCUGAUUUAAGAAAAUACAUAGCAAAAACUUUCUCCAAAAAGUAAAAACAAACAAAUAAACAAAAACAAAACCCCUUAGUUCUGUUACAUUAAUUUGAAUAAAUACUCAAGGGGUCACACUGGGUCGCUCAUGAGGGAUAUCUGCCAGCUAUAGUGAAUCAUGCACACAGCUCUUUUUAAUCAGAA
rnacentral:lncRNA from 1 species